GAGAAACUUCUGGCAGACCGCCUCAUCUCUCUCUUGAGCUCUAUCUGGAAGUCUCGGGAGGAAAAAAAGAAAGAAACGGAGGGGAGGAAAAAAAAAAAGAUGAAGAAAACCCAUCCAUGGGGUUCCUGAUCGCUCCCAACUCCGUACCAGCUCUCCUUAGAGGAUAGAUGGAGAGAGAGAGAGAAGGUUUCGGGUAUUAAAUAAAAAGGGUCAGGAUGUUACAAAUGGUAUCAGAGCAGGGAUAUGAUUGCUAGGGUAUGUACUGUGGGGGAGAAAUGGAAUCGGGUCGUGGUUUGGAAUUUUUAUGAUUUGAAGAGCUUGAUAUUGAUUGCUGUGAAUUGCUUUCGGUCAAAGGUCUAGGCUUUUUAAGUGGGUUUGAUUAUGUUUGAUGUUUUCUGGUUGUAUGUGGUGUUUGAGAUGAUGAUCAUGAUGAUGAUUUCCAUUGGUUCUAUUUAGUUGCGUAGCUACUGUUCAUUCUGGUUUUUCUUUUGCUGCUUUGCGUGUUCUGCUUUCCCUUUUCUUUUGGCGAUGGGUUUUCCAAUUAGCACAUUUCCAUUCUCUUUUGGCGAAUUUUCAGGUUUUCUUUUGUUUGUCCAUAUUUUGAAUGGUGCUCUGCUUCUGUUUUUGGGUUUUGAGGACAAUGCUUUGCUCUGUGGGAUUGAGUGAGUAACGGAAGCUGAGUAACAUGUCCUUUUUAUAGCUGAAAAAAAAAAGGGGGGUUUCGUUUGGUGAUAUGAUUGGGAUUGGUCUCGAAUUCUCACGGCUCUUGUCAAUUGGCAUUUCACAUUUGCCUAGUUAAUCUUGCAUUGAUCUGUUCCUGUUCCCAUGAAAGGUUUUGCUUAGAUUUAUGCCUGCUGAUGUUGCAUGUACUAAACAUCUCUCCCUACCUAUAAUUUUAAUUGGACUGGCAAGUUUUUAGAUCAGAAAGUCAGCUUUUAUUUUUUUUUAAAUCGAUCUUCUGGACUGUAACAAUAUAUAGUCUUAGAGGGUCGUUUGUAUGGUUUAUAUUUAUUGGAGGACAAUACUACUUCAAUUUUAAUUCGGGGUUAGCAAACUUUAGUAAUAAAGGUUGUUAAUGGUCUUGUGACCUUGUCUUGUGAAGAAUGUUGUCGGAUACUUUGAUUCUUAAUUAAAUGUUGUCGUUAUUUGCUAAUUCUGCUGGUUGCUUACUUGUUUUCCAUGGUCAAAGUUAUCUUCUAGUUGCUUGAGACGUGUACAGAUGUUGAAAACUUUAAAUUUGUUUAGUUUAUUAAUUGCUAUCAAGUCUGGAAGUUUAAUUCUUUGGAAUUUACUUCCAGCUUGUAUCUGAACUUUUUGUUGAAGUAUAUAGUGGAAUCCAUUGAUGCCAUUUUAAGUUGAAUAGACAUCUAUAGAGUUGGAGGAACUUAGGUAAUUGAUUCUUAAAGUUGGGAGAUUGUUUGCCUAUUGAUUCUGUAUCUGAAAAACUAAGUUCAGAACUGAUAGAAUUUACCAAAUUAUUUUGAACUUGAUCUUGUGCAAUUACCUGGUGUAGGUCGUCUUUGAAAAAAAAAAAAUCUUAGUUUCUUAGUACGAAUUUGUAAGUGAGUUAUGACUCAUAACUUAUGAGAGAUGGGACAUGAUUGUAACCUUCCCCAUCGGUAGUAAUAAACAGCAAUUUACUGCAUGAUGUAUCAGAAGCAUAAUUCUGUCAGACUAUUGCUAUCUGCUAUGUAUGAAUUUUGUUUAAAAGUUCCACUUUCGUUUCCAAGUGGUGAUGCUAAGAAAGUGGUUUUUGGUAUUUUAAGGAUACUGAUCGGUUGUUGGCCAUCAUGUGUCUUCUUUAAUUGAGAUGGUCAGUGAACAUAAAUACUUUCAAUGGUAUUUACCUGAAGAGCGCAAUUUCUUUUCCGCACUUGAUUCAUAUUGUAAUUGGAUUGUGGUCAAUAAGGAGCCUGAGAGGGACACAAUAACCUUUGCUUUAUUGGCUGCAUUGUUCCAGAUAUAUACAUUGCUAUGGAGUGUUCCGGCGCUUCUCCUUACAGCAAGGAACUAUCAUGGAACCCAAAUUGGGGUCUAUUAUUUUGCUUGUUUGUCAUAUAAUUGAGAUGUUAUAUCAGUGUUCUGUUAGUGUUUCACUUUGCUAAUACUUGGUUGGUUUUGGGUGCUGUGAUGAGGCUUAAUUAUUUGCUUCUAUCAUAUAUGGGUGCCUAAAGCAAUCCUGCUAGUUGCUUAUUAUCUUUUACCUCUUUGGAUGUGUAUUAUGUAUUUUGAUAUUGGGCUGAUAUUAAGUACAUAAUGACUCUUGACAGCAGGUAAGCUCAGGUAAACUACUCUUAGUUUAUUUGUAUAUCUAUUUUACACUCGUAAGUAUUUUUCUAGAUUCUUGAAAUCUAUUUAUUUUCAUAACUAUUAUCGUUAAACGGUUGCUUAAUUGGAUUUUGUGACGAAAUUCAAGUUCUAUAAAUUUUUAUGAGUUGGUAAAUGUAAGGUGAUAUCAAUCUGGUAUCAUAUAUUGUUCUUUUUCUUUGUGUAAAGCCAGACUAAAUAUCAACAGAAGCCUGGGAACAAUGUAAUAAUUUCUUGGAUACAGUAAUGAUUGCAGGUAAUUCAAAGGAUACAGUGAAGUAACUCUGUUAAUCAUUUAGGAGAGUUUAUCAAUUAGUUGGGGUGGGCUGUUCUUGUAAGGUGCUUGUUCUCCUUAAUGUUGUAUACAGGGCAGUCUUCAUUUGUUAGUAUUCGAAAGUCUACGAUGCUGCCUCUUGUACUGGUAUAUGUAGCCAUACCAAUGUAUCAUCUGUUUUAAGAGUUUGUAUAUGUAAAUUAUAUGUAAUGAGUCGGUACGUGGAACUGAAAGCCUCAAAAGGAUGCAGUAAUCUCUGGGAAGCAGAUAUAUUCAGGAUCCAAUUAAAUGUAAAGAAUGAUUGGAGCUCUAAUGAAUUUGAUCCGGUUAGGCCCGGGAAAACAAUAAAGUAGGGAUUGUGUCUCCCUUGGGUGAAAGACCCGAAACCUGAUUGGGGCUCGUGGGACGAGCGGAUAAUUAAGUAGGGAUUGUGCUUCCCUAGGGUGAAAGACCCCAAACCCAAUUGGGAAUCCGCUUAGUACGGGGUGUGCUCGGUGGCCUUAAUACGAGCAAUGGGCUCUAACCGGGGAAAAGAGUAAAGAAAAAAAAAAAAAAAUUGUUAUUCGACAAGUUCAAAAGAAGCAUGCUGAAUGAAUGUUGCAAGUGGCCAAACUCAGUUGAUGGUUGAAUCAACAUGUUGGACUUGGCUGUUUGGACCAAGUAAUUGUCAAAGAUGAUGCAUUCUGAUAUGAAAGAAAAGGUAAUUGAACCAAAGAAUGCGAUGAAUAACUCACUUCUGUCCAAACGGCCUUGAUGGAUCUAUUAGUUGUGUUUGGCAUAAUUGAAAAUGAUACCAUGAAGACUUGAGAGCUAGUAUAACAUGUACAUGUUACGAAUUCAA